CCUACGGGAGGCUGCAGUGGGGAAUAUUGCGCAAUGGGCGAAAGCCUGACGCAGCGACGCCGCGUGAGGGAUGAAGGUCUUCGGAUCGUAAACCUCUGUCAGCAGGGAAGAACGGUCACUGUGCUAAUCAGCAGUGAAUUGACGGUACCUGCAAAGGAAGCACCGGCUAACUCCGUGCCAGCAGCCGCGGUAAUACGGAGGAUGCGAGCGUUAUCCGGAUUUAUUGGGUUUAAAGGGUGCGUAGGCGGGCUUUUAAGUCAGCGGUAAAAAUUCGGGGCUCAAACCCGUCCGGCCGUUGAAACUGGGGGCAUUGAGUGGGCGAGAAGAAGGCGGAAUGCGUGGUGUAGCGGUGAAAUGCAUAGAUAUCAGGAGGAACACCGGUGGCGAAGGCGGCCUGCUGGACUGCAACUGACGUUGAGGCCCGAAAGCGUGGGGAGCAAACAGGAUUAGAUACCCGUGUAGUC
rnacentral:rRNA from 1 species